UCCAUAAACCCGAAAAGGCCAGGGUUCAGAGAGCUUCCAGACUGACGAACACGUGGAGGCACCAGGCAGGUGGUGCCCUGGAAGAGGACAUGGAAGCUCCGAAUCCCUGUUCACUUCCUCCAUCUGCCUGUUCCUGAGUUAUAUCCUUCUAUAAAAAACCAGUGAUCUAACAAGAAGCCUGGCAAGCUGGUUGUGGCCUUGGUGUUCAAUGAAUUAGUCAUACCAGAGCAGAUGUGACUGCAAUUUUCUUGGUCGUCCCUCAGAAUCACAUGAUAGCUGCUGCUGCUCCAACCAUCACAAAUGUAUUUAUAACAGAUAAGAGGAGGAAGGUCUUUCAUAUUUGAUGCUUACACCACCUCAGAAAAAAUCCAAAUAGGAGUGCUCCCCUCCACCACCCUGAGCCCUGCACUUAACAGGGAACAGUGGGGAGUCGGGCUCCGGGAGGUCACAAGACAGCCCCUCAAGGCGCUCUUUCUGCCCUGUGGCCCCUGCCUCACCAAGAUUCACAGAGUCAUCGUAUGGCCACAGCACUGUGUCGCUGCUUGUUUUUCCUGGAGCGGGGCAGGCCUUAUGGAGGCUGAAGAGAAGCGGCAGCAAUGUCUUCUCUUGAGUCAGGCACUUCAGACGGGGGAACCGAGGCCCCGAGGAAGUAUCCUGCCCGAGGCCGCACAGCUCAGGGCCCUGCAACGCCUUUCCUACAAGGGGCUGCGCUCCAGCUGAAGCUGUAGGGAGCACCAGCCAGCCUCCUUUCCCAGAAUCUAGGGCUGAGAACAGAACCUCAAGGAGAAUGUUACCCACCACAAGUCCAGCAGCACUGAGAGGCCAGUCAACCUCCCUCUCUGCAAGGCAUUGUUUUCUCAACUCUGUAUCCCCUUCCAUCCUGGCCCCGCAACAUCAGAGCACAGUGCCCUACAGGUCUGCAAGCAGCCUGACUUCCCUGCCCUAUAGGGUGCUGAGGGUCGUAGCUGCUUUCCAGCCAAGUCUUCCUUGCCCCAGAUCCUUCCACCUUCACCAGGCGGAGACUCCCCAAGGAUGGCCCCAAGCUCUGAAGCUGGAGAUGCCCUGCAUUCUCUCCCAGAACAAUUCCUUGCUCUGUGAAGGCCCAAGUUCAGCUCUGGAUAGUCACUGCCUUCAGGCAAGGGUAGAUCCAGGUUCUGAGGGACCCUGAAGUUUAUGCAGUUUGGGGGGCCUGCUUUAAGAAGAAUAAUGCAAAUACACACAUUCAGAAUGCCUCAGUCCCUCGGAAGGGCCCUGCCGACAAGGAGCCUGCCCUCCCAGGCCCAGCAGGCUAGGGCUGCCCCACAGUGGCCUCACUCUGGGAAGUGGCUGGUGGGGCUCCCAGUGGACAGGGCUGAGCAGUGUGGGGGGCACUCCAGCCGCCUAACAAGGGGCCUCCUCGCCAUUGUUCCAUAGGUGAGUCACUGGGUUUCGGGCCUCAUUCAACAAAGCAAAGUAGAUUCUGCUUCACUCUUGGCCACAGUGGGAAGACGUCUGCGAAGUAGGCUGGGCGAAUUCUCAGCCACCUCCACGCUUGGCGCUUGGGUCUAGCUUAGUGACAAGCAUGAAUGUCAACUCUGCCAUGUGCAACACAUGGGAACUUGGGCAAGUUACCUGCCCUGAUUCCACCUGUAAAGUCAGGAGGUUACCCCAGGUAGUUUGUUUAGUGUUAAAUGAAAUAAGCCAUGGAAGUUCAGCUCCAAGACUGGUGUCAAUUAUGACUUCUUUUCAAGAAGCCCUACAAUACUGUUCCUGCUCGGACGUUCUAAGACUUUGUAUGGUCCCUGCAUGCCCUUUUCACUAAGGCCCUGGAUUCUGUAUUGCCCCAAAGCCCCUUUACUUUUUUUCUCAAAUAUCUUUCCAGAAAAUGGAGAAGAUGUGUCCAUGGUAACUAGAGGGAGGUGGCCAGCAGAGACAGAGGGGAGAAGAGUUGGUUCGGAACAGGCCCAGAAGACGUGAGCCAGUGGUAAUUGCAGACAGCCCCCUUCUUGACAGUCGCCGUAGGAUAAACAGCAAAUCCCACCUUCUAGGAUGUCAGAGGCCUGAGGCAGCAGGUGUUGACUGUAGUUUUCACACAGGACCCUGCCCUCGUUAGGCUGCUUUGGGGCCCAUCCACCAGGCCCAAGCUUUUGGAUCCAAGCCCAAAUGAGCUGCUACUAUGGACAGUGAGACUUUUACUUUUGCAGGCUAAGAAGCCAUCACGCUUUUCCAGCCCCAGCAGGACCACCGUCCCGGGAUUGACAGCUCAUUUAAACAGGUGCAGGCCUUGUGGCCGGUUCUUGAAGGGGCAGACACUCAUACUCAGACAUGUUGCCUACGCUGCACGUCUUUCUCAUUUUUCUAACCUCUUCCAAAGUUAGCAGACAGUUUCAGGAAGCCAUGCACUCUGCCAGGGGCUGAGGACAAGCUGGGAGGCCACGGGGAUGGCAGUGUGCUCCAGCAUCACCCGGGCCAAGCAGUGCAGGCGGCCUGGGUCAGCUCCCUUCCAAUGGGAGAAGGACCAGCGUUCGUCCGGCAUCAGGAGAUCCUCCUGGCCAAUGCGAGGCCAGGCCGGACCCCAGUGACUCACCGCACAAUGUGUUUUCUCAAGCAGAUGUUCCCGGACCACUUGAAAGACUGGCAGAGUAUUACUCUCCGGUUUAAUGUUCCUCCUUUUGUUAAAAUUCCUAACAUAAGGAAGUGGGGGCUGGGGAUUGAAGGGAGCGUCGUUUUACAGCCCAGCCCCCUUCCCCCGGCAGCUCAGCUCUUGCUGGCCCUGCAGGGGUGGCGGGAGACAGAAGGGCCUCCCAGGAGAAAUCUAGGGGCUUCCCCGCCCUCUUCUUGUUUCUCCAUCCAGGCUGUUAAUUUUACUGGAACUCACUUGAGUAGAGCAUGUGAGGCCAGAGGAUGGAGAAGGGAAAUAACUCCAGGACAACUUGCUAUAACAAUCCGGGCCCUGGGGAGGCCUCCUGGGGGCACCCACACCCAGGGACAUGAGCCAAGCCUCAAACUUCCAACCCCCAAGAUGAAGGCUGAAAACUGGGUUAAGUCAGGAAGUAGAAUGAACCCUUUUCCUCCACUUCAAGAUGCACUUUUCACAUUUUUCAAAUUAUUUUCCAAUUUUAUUAUUAAAAUUUCAAACAUUUAGAAGAAUAGUACAAUGAAUCUCCACACACCCAUCACUCAGCUUUAAUAAUUAUCCACAUUGAGCAUUUCUGAAAUUGGGAUACAUUUAUGGUCAGUGGAUAUAUUUAAUGUAGUAUUUCUUUACCUCACCAAAUCUAUUAAAUCAUCAAGGUAACUGACAACUGGUUAAGGAUGAACAGGCUGAUGCAAAUGAACAGCAGGGAAGAAAAUUCUCCAGGAAACAACCUUGCCCUUGAGCAAUUUUCCCUACAUUUUUACCACCGGAGAUCCUUUCUGUUAUUUUCUUCCCUUUGGCCUUGGAGUUUGAAGGCCAUUUAUUAAUGUUUCCAUUUAUUAUUAACCCACUUAUUUAUUUAUUAGUCCAUGUAUUUAUUAUUAAUGUUUUCUCCAUUUUAAAAAUAAUUAAAAGCCAAUAGUAACUUGUACACCAGUGUUCAUAGCAGCAUUAUGCACAAUAGCCUAAAGGUGGGAGCAACCUAAAUGUUCAGUGAUGGAUGAAUGGAUAAAACAAAUAUGGUGCAGCCACUCAAUUAUUCAGUCUUAAAAGGGAAGGAAAUUCUGACAUGUGCUAUAUAGCAUGAAUGACCCGUGAAGACAUUAGGCUGAGUGACCUAAGCCAGUCAUAAAAGGACAAAUACUGUAUGAGUCCACUCACAUGAGGUUCCUAGUAUAGUCAAAUUCAUAGAGACAGGAGGUGGGAUAGAGAUUCCCAGGGGCUGGGAGCAGAAGAAGAUGGGGAGUUUGGGGGUACAGAGUUACUGUUUAGGGGACUGAAAGCAUUUGGAAAUGGAUGGUGGUGAUGGCUAUACAACAUUGUGAAUGUAUUUAAUGCUACUGAACUGUUCAAUUAAAAAUGGUCAUGGUGGUAAAUUUUAUGUAUAUUUUGCCACAAUAAUUUUUUUUUAAGAGGUAAAAUAACAUUAAGGAUUUGAAGACAGUGACUGCAGAGCAUUAAACCGUGUGGGCCUUUCCGAGUGUGAGGUCCUAUGCACUGGUCAAAUGCCCAUGAGGCCACCCCAACCGUGCCCGGCACUGGAAAAGCAGCAGCAGAUGGCACCUGGGCUCUGCUGCCCAGGAGCUGUGGGCAGCCCCAGACCCUACGACCCUUCACCCCAACACUUGCUGUGGCUGCAAGAGCUCCUCCCCAGGCUUCCUGACUCCGGCGCUAGGCCUGGUGCCGUCUCCCACUCAGUCUUGUUUUCCCUAGUGAAAGUCAUGACCUUCACCUGCCAUGCCUUCCUCCCUGUUAGUGCAGGAAUCAAAUGAGAAAGUGCCAAACCCUGGCUUCUGGGUGAGCAUCUGGGUGAUGCAAAUAGAGCCACUGAGAUUAGAAUGAGGGCCCCCACCCUUUACAGGUGACAGCUACUCUGGACACAGUGUGGAGGUGAGUGAGUCAGAGGCAGGAAUACUGAUAAGAAGCAACAGUGAAAGGAUCCGUGGAUCAACCGACGCCUCACUACCGGAAAGAAUCCACAUUUUCUCUGGUAAAUUAUCAAGGAAAAGAAGAGGCGCUCACCUUCUGGACUUUUUUUUCAAUCUCUGCUUAUAAACAGAUGUCAGCUCCGUCUGGUGUCAUCGUUCUGCCCAGCCUGCUAUUCCACAAGCAUUCCCAAGGUCCCCAGCAAGGGCCACAAGACAGGCCAAAUUUCCCCUGAUUCCCUUUUAGCACUGUCUAUGGGAGAGGUUGCAUCCACCUUUUUGGCUUCCCAUGUUGCAGAACUGAGGCCUCUUGGCUUUGAUUUAUCCUUCCUCCCUUCAUUUUCCAUGGACCUUCUUCUGUGUAUGUAGACUUCCCUUGAAAACAUCAGGAAAAUUCACUAGAUAAAAAAAAAACCAAAAACUUACGGUCAGGAGCAAGACAAUGAUAGCUCUUGUCUCAAAUAACAAAAUGCAUAAAUACAUAAAUUCCAACAGAGCAUAGACAUUGUUCAUGAGUCAGAAUAGAGAUACUGGUCUGGAAUUUACUUUAGUGAAAUUACUUUAAUCCAACCCUGUGGUCUUUGAGCCCUAGUUUCUUCUUGUGUCAAGUGGAGAUAAUAUUUACUACUUCUCAGAGGUGUUGUGGAGACCAAAUAAAAUUUGUGUUUAUGAAGUCCAAAAAGCCCGCACAGAUGAACUUCACAAGGACUGACAGUACAUCAGUUGGGCAGAGAGAGAGUCUGUGAUUAUUGCUCAUUCCCCCCACAGACCUGAAGGCCAGCAGUCAGUUGCAUGCAGUGAGCCCGGGAGCUUUCAGCAAAGCCACCUUCUGCGCGAGAAUAUGGCUAUGUCUGUUCUCCUUCCAGAUCUCCCAGCAACAUGUUUGUCCGGUGGUCUGGGGGGCCUGGUCCCCUGCCUUGAGAAGCUCUACCUUAAAGUGACGCCAGAACUGAGGGCCACUGUCAUAUUGCCUGUGCUGGAAUUUACUUUCAAAUACUUUGGAAUAAAUUGUAAGAUGUGUGUAUGUGAAAAUGAAAUUAUAUAUCCAUUUGCUUCAAAUAGGAAAUACAUUCACAUGUUAAAAAAAUCA